GACGAACGCUGGCGGCGUGCUUAACACAUGCAAGUCGAACGGUAAGGCUCCAGCUUGCUGGGGUACACGAGUGGCGAACGGGUGAGUAACACGUGGGUGACCUGCCCUGCACUUCGGGAUAAGCCUGGGAAACUGGGUCUAAUACCGGAUAGGACCGCACCGUGAGGGUGUGGUGGAAAGUUUUUUCGGUGUGGGAUGGGCCCGCGGCCUAUCAGCUUGUUGGUGGGGUAAUGGCCUGCCAAGGCGGCGACGGGUAGCCGGCCUGAGAGGGUGGACGGCCACAUUGGGACUGAGACACGGCCCAGACUCCUACGGGAGGCAGCAGUGGGGAAUAUUGCACAAUGGGCGGAAGCCUGAUGCAGCGACGCCGCGUGGGGGAUGACGGCCUUCGGGUUGUAAACUCCUUUCACCAUCGACGAAGGGUUUCUGACGGUAGAUGGAGAAGAAGCACCGGCUAACUACGUGCCAGCAGCCGCGGUAAUACGUAGGGUGCGAGCGUUGUCCGGAAUUACUGGGCGUAAAGAGCUCGUAGGUGGUUUGUCGCGUCGUCUGUGAAAUUCCGGGGCUUAACUCCGGGCGUGCAGGCGAUACGGGCAUAACUUGAGUACUGUAGGGGAGACUGGAAUUCCUGGUGUAGCGGUGAAAUGCGCAGAUAUCAGGAGGAACACCGGUGGCGAAGGCGGGUCUCUGGGCAGUAACUGACGCUGAGGAGCGAAAGCAUGGGGAGCGAACAGGAUUAGAUACCCUGGUAGUCCAUGCCGUAAACGGUGGGCGCUAGGUGUGGGUUUCCUUCCACGGGAUCCGUGCCGUAGCUAACGCAUUAAGCGCCCCGCCUGGGGAGUACGGCCGCAAGGCUAAAACUCAAAGGAAUUGACGGGGGCCCGCACAAGCGGCGGAGCAUGUGGAUUAAUUCGAUGCAACGCGAAGAACCUUACCUGGGCUUGACAUAUACAGGAUCGCGCCAGAGAUGGUGUUUCCCUUGUGGCUUGUAUACAGGUGGUGCAUGGUUGUCGUCAGCUCGUGUCGUGAGAUGUUGGGUUAAGUCCCGCAACGAGCGCAACCCUUGUCUUAUGUUGCCAGCACGUUGUGGUGGGGACUCGUAAGAAACUGCCGGGGUUAACUCGGAGGAAGGUGGGGAUGACGUCAAAUCAUCAUGCCCCUUAUGUCCAGGGCUUCACACAUGCUACAAUGGUCGGUACAGUGGGUUGCCAGUCCGUGAGGGCGAGCUAAUCCCGCAAAGCCGGUCUCAGUUCGGAUCGGGGUCUGCAACUCGACCCCGUGAAGUCGGAGUCGCUAGUAAUCGCAGAUCAGCAACGCUGCGGUGAAUACGUUCCCGGGCCU
rnacentral:rRNA from 1 species